ensembl:lncRNA
GUCAGAGAGUCCAUUUUAAUCAUUCAAUACUUGUUUUAAAAUGAUAUUUACUUCAUUGCACAAGUGUUCCAUUACUUCCGAACAUGUCACUUAUUUGCCUUUUUUAUUUAUCAUUUAUUUAUUUAUAUUUUUGCCAUUUUUUCUAUUUUACUGCACUCGAAAAUACAUUUUUGUUGUGCGUGUUAUCCUGUAUUUAUUACAUUUUACUCAUCUCAAAGUAAAACACUUGAAACUUAUUUUUCAUUUAUUUAUUUCUAACCUUCUCCAUCAUUUUUCACAUUUUUCAACACUUUUUAAUUUAACGCUCACUUUUCUUUAUUGAACCAUCGGUAAUGUGAAUUCAAUAACGCUCCUUAUAAACAUGGAACAUUCCACACUGAACACACACACACACACACACACACACACACACACACACACAUGCAUACAGUAUCAUCUUCACUGUGGCUAAACACAAACAUACAGACAUGCACACACAUGACUACACACUGUAAUAAACACUCACACUGACACACACACACACAUUCCAUUAUUGGCACAAAGAUAAUAAACACAUUGCAAUAAACACACACAGCCUACAUUCCAGUAAUCCCCCACAUCUACACACACACACCCCCCUUACACGCACACACACACACACACACACACACACACACACACACUCCUCACCUGGUGGUCCGUAGCUGUGUUCUGUGUUCUCCUCAUCGUCUUCUGUGGCAAAGACUCUAUCACACACUUUCACCGGUGUGCCCUUUCUCUUCCUACUGCAACCACGUCUGUAACAAACACACACACACACACACACCCCUUUCUUUUAUCAUCUGCCAGCUUCAUGAACUUAACCACUUGCAUAAGACAUGAGUCACGUCAUAUACACAGCGGUCAAUAAACUGCAAGCGAUCAAUGGAAAUCACAGCGGUAAUCAAUUGUUAAGCCCCGCCCCCUUUGUGUUCAUUUGACUGCAAAAUGGGUUGCCAAGUCAGCCGAUGUAAACCCUCAUUUGGGAACAGGCGCAAACAGAAGUCAUUAUAAAUCUGAUGGAAGCAAUUAAAAUGGGUUUCCUCUGCUGGCAGGCAGAAAUUAAAUACUGCUUUAGGAAAAAUGACCGAAAUAAACACACACACAGAUACCCUGUGUAAGGUUAAUAACACUUCAGUGUUCAGCGCGUUUAUCACGCGAGGUUAACGAGGUUUAAAUACAACCCAAACACACCGACUGUGCUCUUUAACUCAGUCAUUUUCACAGAAAGAUUUGGUAGUAGAUUUGCAUGUACUUAUUUCAUUAUUUAUUAACAUUUUCUGUUCCUCAACCAGGGUAUAAUACCUCAUCAGAUUCUAUUAAAGGAUUUCUCCAAAACAAUAGCAACAUUC